rnacentral:rRNA from 1 species
CUUCCGAUCUCUCCACCCAGACUCAUCCAUUGCCCUGACUAUAGAGAGUUUCUGUUGGUGCUGAUAUCGGGCGCAAGCCUGAUGCAGCGACGCCGCGUGGGGGAUGACGGCCUUCGGGUUGUAAACCUCUUUCAGUAGGGACGAAGCGCAAGUGACGGUACCUAUAGAAGAAGCACCGGCCAACUACGUGCCAGCAGCCGCGGUAAUACGUAGGGUGCGAGCGUUGUCCGGAAUUACUGGGCGUAAAGAGCUCGUAGGUGGUUUGUCACGUUGUUCGUGAAAACUCACAGCUCAACUGUGGGCGUGCGAGCGAUACGGGCAGACUAGAGUACUGCAGGGGAGACUGGAAUUCCUGGUGUAGCGGUGGAAUGCGCAGAUAUCAGGAGGAACACCGGUGGCGAAGGCGGGUCUCUGGGCAGUAACUGACGCUGAGGAGCGAAAGCGUGGGGAGCGAACAGGAUUAGAUACCCUGGUAGUCCACGCCGUAAACGGUGGGUACUAGGUGUGGGUUUCCUUCCUUGGGAUCCGUGCCGUAGCUAACGCAUUAAGUACCCCGCCUGGGGAGUACGGCCGCAAGGCUAAAACUCAAAGGAAUUGACGGGGGCCCGCACAAGCGGCGGAGCAUGUGGAUUAAUUCGAUGCAACGCGAAGAACCUUACCUGGGUUUGACAUGCACAGGACGCCGGCAGAGAUGUCGGUUCCCUUGUGGCCUGUGUGCAGGUGGUGCAUGGCUGUCGUCAGCUCGUGUCGUGAGAUGUUGGGUUAAGUCCCGCAACGAGCGCAACCCUUGUCUCAUGUUGCCAGCACGUAAUGGUGGGGACUCGUGAGAGACUGCCGGGGUCAACUCGGAGGAAGGUGGGGAUGACGUCAAGUCAUCAUGCCCCUUAUGUCCAGGGCUUCACACAUGCUACAAUGGCCGGUACAAAGGGCUGCGAUGCCGCAAGGUGGAGCGAAUCCUUUAAAGCCGGUCUCAGUUCGGAUCGGGGUCUGCAACUCGACCCCGUGAAGUCGGAGUCGCUAGUAAUCGCAGAUCAGCAACGCUGCGGUGAAUACGUUCCCGGGCCUUGUACACACCGCCCGUCACGUCAUGAAAGUCGGUAACACCCGAAGCCGGUGGCCUAACCCCUUGUGGGAGGGAGCUGUCGAAGGUGGGAUCGGCGAUUGGGACGAAGUCGGAACAAGGUAGC